GACCUGAUAGUAUAAUUGGUUCGUGCGUCUGCUCUUCAUAUCGUCAUUCCUCCUUCAAGCAGAAGAUCCCCGUUCGAUCCGGGGUCGGGUCA